rnacentral:lncRNA from 1 species
GUAUUUUUUAAGAUUGUGGUAAAAUAUAUAUAACAUAAAAUUUACUAUGGCACAGCAAGUUUAAGGAUCCAGCACUGUCACUGCAGCGGCUCAGGUUGCUGCUGUGGUGCAGGUUCAGUCCCUGGCCUGGAAACUUCCACGUGCCAUGGGCAUGACCAAAAAAAAUUUUUCUUUUACCACUUUAAUGAAGUUUAACUGUACAGUUAAGGGGCGUUAAGUAUGUUCAAAUUGUGCAACCAUCACCACUUACCCAUCGUGAAAUUUUCCUUCUUUCCAAAUUAAAGCUCUGUACCCAUUAAACACUAACUCCUCAUUCUCUCCUUGGAUUAUUUGUUUUCCUCCUUGGAGUAUUUUUAUAACAGCUGCUUUAAGGUCUUUUUCAGCUCAUUCCAACAUUUUGGUGUUGGCAUCUCUUCAUUGUCUUUUCCCAUGGGAGUUGAGCUUUUCCUGCUCCUUUGUAUUGUAGUAAUUUGUCCUGGACGUUUUGAAUAUUAUGUUAUGAGCUCUGAGUCUCACUUAAAUCCUACAGAGAACAUUAACAUUUUUGUCUUAGCAGGUCACUGGCCAAGUGGGUUCAGCUCCACCUGCCUUCUGUGGGGUUUGGUUCCAGUGUCAAUCCUCUUUUGUUUUGAUUUGAUUUGUUUUUUGCCUUUUUGGGACUGCCCGUGGCAUAUGGAGGUUCCCAGGCUAGAAGUGGAAUCAGAGCUACAGCUGCCAGCCUACACCACAGCCACAGCAGCACAGGAUCCGGGCCACAUCUGAGACCUACACAACAGCUCACGGCAACGCCAGAUCCUUAACUCAUUGAGCAAGGCCAGGGAUUGAACCCACGUCCUCAUGGAUACUAGUUGGGUUCGUUAACCACUGAGCCACGACGGAAACUCCUCAGUCCUGUUUUUAAAGCCUCUGCAGUGCCAUGUGCAUCCGCUCUGUACUCGCCGUGCUGCUUGCGCUCUAGUCCAGAAGGCAGGCCAUGGCCUCACUCAUGCUUCAUUGCUCAGCCUCUGUGGUUAGCUGUUUAGGUUAGAUCCAGUCAUAUGCAGCUAGCAGGUGAGCCCAGAGGUCCGUAAAUUACCUUAUGAAGUGGCUUUCCCAAACUCCUCCCUCACUGCUCCCUCCGUGGGACUCUGGUUCCCUGGGGCUUUUUUUACUCGGCUCUGAUGAGCAUUUCCCACAACUGCACCCAAGUAGGGGGCAAAUCAACAAGGGUUCAUCCCAGCAUCUCAAGACCAUAGCUCCUCCAAUUAGAGGAAGGUUCACCUUCCUCAUAGCUUCAGGCUCCCGUAGACACCUGCCACCAUCCCUGCCACCAUGGGUGGCCUGGGGACUAGGACACAAGAAGAUGGAGAGAAGAAAGAAAAUAGGGAUGUCCCCUAGUUUUGUUUUGUUUUGUUUUUUUAGGGCAGCAUGUGGAAGUUUCAGGCUGGGGGUCUAAUUGGCGCUAUAGCUGCUGGCCUGCACUACAGUCAUAGCAAUGCCAGAUCUGAGCCACAUCUGCGACCUACACCACAGCUCAUGGCAGUGCCAGAUCCUUAACCUGCUGAGCAAGGCCAGGAUCGAAUCCACGUCCUCAUGGAUUCUAGUCAGAUUCAUUACCACUGAACCACGACAGGAACUCCUCCAGUUUUUUUGAGUGUUAGGGAGCCUCUUUCCUAGCCACAGCAGUGACAACAUGGGAUCCUUAACCCACUAAGCCACCAGGGAACUCCAGCUGAUGUUCACUUCUACAUUUGGGACUGCACUGAGACAGCCCAGGGAAUACCAGAGGGGGAAAAAAGUAUAAACUCGCUGCCAGGUUGCUGGUACUUUGAUUGCUGGCCUUCCCCAAUCUGCCAGUUAAGACUGAUUUUUCUGAGCUCUCAAGAGCUUGAAGCCCUCUGUCCAGGGUUUGCAGCUGCAUUCAGCAGCAGAAGCAGGAUGGAGACUGCUUCUCCAUCUUGCUGGAACUGGAGGCACUACCUCAGGUUCCCCAUCAAUCCCCCAGCUAUCUAGUGGACAAUGGACUGAUGGGAGGCUGGGUUGGAAGCAAGAGGUGUGUGAGGAUGUUUGGAGAAGCUUCACAGAGAUGGCCCCUGGGUUGAGUCUUAAAGAUGAGUGGCUGUUUUCAUUCAGGGCAGAGGGAUUAGUGUGAGUGAUGUCUUAGGGGGGCAUAAGACUAUGUAAGGAAGUCUGGGGUGAGGGUACCAGGAGGGGGCAGGAUGCAGGGUGAGAACCCUCAGAGAGAAGGCUAAGGACUAGACUGGGACUACACGAUGGAGGGGAGUGGUUGAUUUUUGAUUUCUAUGGGUCGAAGAAAAAGGCCAGGUAAUGUUUUCCACUGGUGUACAAGAAGGGGAAUCCCCCACCCCCAGACCUGAGACAGGAUGUGGGGAUGCUCGUGGGUGACACAGGCCUUAGCAGGGAAAGGCGGCAUCUAAGCUGAAAAGGCCUAGUUCCUGUGGGGAAGAAGGACGUAUUACAGGCUGAAAGGGAAUGCCAUACUGCUGCAGCCUUUCUUAGAUCAGAUGAUAUAUAAGAGGAGCCUAGGAGAUACCUGCUUCUGUAUCCAAGAUAAUAAAACCUGGAGUUCCCGCUGUGGCACAAUGGGAUCGGCAGUGUCUCUGGAGCACUUGGAUGCAGGUUCGAUCCCCAGCGCAGCACAGUGGGUUAAGGAGCCAGCUUUAAGCAUGUUGCAGUUCAUAUCCGAUCCCUGGCCUGGGAACUCCAUAUGC